CUGUGACUCUGGAGGAAAGACACUUAAAACCAAGACGGUGGAUUCCAGAUCCUUCUGGCUGAGACUCCAGAUGCAGCCCCAAGUUCUAGAUUAAAGCUACUCCCAACUCAUUGGACCCAAAAGAAUCACAGCUUGGUGGCUGCCGGCUGGAGAGGGAUCACCCAGUCUGAGAGGACACACACUGGCAGCCGGCCAGCCAAGAGUAUGUUUCUUUUGCUGCUCAUCAUUACGACUUGGGCAGCUCAGUCUCCCUGCUCCUGUUUCCUCAUGUGCGAAGUGCUCAGUCGCUCAGUCAUGUCCAUCUUUUUGUGACCCCAUGGACUUGCAGCCCACCAGGCUUCUCCGUCCAUGGGAUUUUUCAGAUACUGUUGCUGCUACCACUGCUGCCAUUAUUGCGAUUACUAUCUCAAACCCCUCUGCCUGGGAGCGCCUAGUCCACCACCCUGCCACAAGUAAUCGAAGCCCAGCCUUCCAGAGGUCCUUAACUCCCAGCACACCUCCGAUCCUUUGUUCCCAACUUUUCUUAUUCCAGAGCUUUAUCCAAAGUUAAGUUCUUUGCAUAGAUUCCUCUCACUGAUCUGCACGCUCCUUGGGGGCUGGGACCAGAUGAUAG
ensembl:lncRNA